rnacentral:rRNA from 1 species
GACAGAGGGUGCAAACGUUGUUCGGAAUUACUGGGCGUAAAGCGCGUGUAGGCGGCAGGGCAAGUCGGAUGUUAAAGCCCACGGCUCAACCGUGGAAGUGCACCCGAAACUGCCUCGCUAGAGUCUCGGAGAGGAAGGUGGAAUGCUUGGUGUAGAGGUGAAAUUCGUAGAUAUCAAGCGGAACACCGGUGGCGAAGGCGGCCUUCUGGACGAUGACUGACGCUGAGACGCGAAAGCGUGGGGAGCAAACAGG